AAUCCAUCUAUCUCUUAUUCCCACGCUUACCUCGCGGAAGCCAAUGCGCUACAAGCUAGCCCAAGAGUCGGCACCUGACUCUUCCUCGUUGAAAAAGAAUCCCGUGCUCCCUCCCCCAAAUCUCCCUGCGGCGACCUCCCGCUCUCCCCGGCGCGCCGCACCUCACUUCCACGCUGCUCGCGCGCCAAUUUGUUCGCCUGCGCGCCAAUACUCCUGCUUGCGCCCUCUCUCUCCUCUCUUCCCCCUCUUCUCCUGUUCGUUUUCUCGAGUUCACUAUCGUUUGACGCCCUUGAUUCCGUCCCCGUGCCACACAAACGAAUCCGCUUCUCCUACCGCCGACGAGCCGUGCAGCAAGAUGAGCCGUCGGUCGAAGCGACAAGUAGCUCCGCCACCGCACAUGCCGCCUCCGGCUGGAUCUACUGCUGCUCCUGGUUGCUUCGAUGCCCCGAUGUCUGCCUCCCUUCAAGCUGGUGCUGCAAUGGCUGUGCUUCGGGCCUCUGUGCCUCCAUGAGCCCAACAAGGAUGGUGGAACAGAAUCACUACUAUAGAAAUAGCCUUUCAUCCUAUACAUUAGUCCCGGCCAGUUUUGGAUCCGGGACUAACGUGGACAUUAGUCCCGGUUUCAACAGUUAGGGGACGAAAGGGGUUUUUAAGUUCUGGUUGGAGCCACCAACCGGACCUAAAAGUCUCUUUAGUCCCGGUUGCUAGCUCCAACCGGGACUAAAGACUUAACCCUUUAGUCUCGAGUGGUAUCACCAAUCCGGACUAAAGGGUAUCCCUUUAGUCCCGAUUGGUGGUACCACCUUGGACUAAAUGACCCUUUAAUCUCGGUUGGUGGUACCAACCCGAACCAAAGGGCAUUUUAUGGGUUAGUAAAAAAGAAGACAUCUUGCAGAGUGACAUGUGCUACAUAGGUGAAAUAGUAAGAAAGUUGUGUGAGAGGCAAGAGAUUUUGGGUUCAAUUUCUGAUGAGUGCAAAAAAAAUUUACAUCACGGAACCCUUUGGUCCUGGUUGUAGCAACCGUGCCACAAGCCAACUCUUUUUGGCCUUACAUUCCCAAAUUGGUAUGUAAUCUUUUUUUUUACAAUUGUUCGCAUGAUGACUAUUUUAGAAUCAAAGUAUAUCUAUCACCUUAGCUUAUUGUACAUGUUUUCUCACCCUUUCAUUAACAGGAGGUGAACAGCUUCGGUUGUCCUUACUUGUGUUUGUGGUUGGUGUCCAGCUUUUGGUGGUCUUGUUGAAGGAAUGCAAUAGGCACUUGUGGCUGUGGUUGCUGUCUAGCUUUUGGUGGUUCUCAUUUGAUGGAUGCAGUUAAAUCUGCUCUCUUUUGGUGGUUGUUUUCUGGUCGUUCUUGACAUUGUAAAAAAAAUCAUGAUAUAGCUAUCAUGUUUGAUGCUUGCCGUAGCAUUAUGGACUUUAGCAUGUGGGAAAACUACAUCUUAUUAUUAUUCCAUGGCAGUCAUUGUGCUAAGAUAAUUAUGUAAGCUAGUGAUAUUUCUAAGCUAUUAUUGUCCUCAUAUAAACUGGUAUAUGCUCA